rnacentral:rRNA from 1 species
CAGCAGCCGCGGUAAUACGUAGGUCCCGAGCGUUGUCCGGAUUUAUUGGGCGUAAAGCGAGCGCAGGCGGUUAGAUAAGUCUGAAGUUAAAGGCUGUGGCUUAACCAUAGUACGCUUUGGAAACUGUUUAACUUGAGUGCAAGAGGGGAGAGUGGAAUUCCAUGGGUAGCGGUGAAAUGCGUAGAUAUACGGAGGAACACCGGUGGCGAAAGCGGCUCUCUGGCUUGUAACUGACGCUGAGGCUCGAAAGCGUGGGGAGCAAACAGGAUUAGAUACCCCAGUAGUCCCUGUCUCUUAUACA